AGUCCUGAUUCACAAUUCGAUGCACAUAAUGAAAAAGAGUGCAGAGCAGAGUGUUUGAACAAUUGCCAAUGCCAAGCUUACUCAUAUGAGGAAGUUGAUACACUUCAAAGCAAUACCAAGUGCUGGAUUUGGUUGGAAGAUCUCAACAAUCUCAAGGAAGGCUAUUUAGGUAGCCGCAAUGUAUUCAUUCGCGUUGCAGUUCCCGAUAUAGAGUCGACCAGUAGAGAUUGUGUGACCUGUGGCA